rnacentral:lncRNA from 1 species
GCUCAGCGAUAUGAGGCAGCAUCGACAAUUUAUGGACCGCACACAUUAUCUGCUUACAUUCAGCUCUUCAGAAACCUUGCUAAGGCUAUUGCUACGGAACUUCACUUGUGGAAAUCUUCCCUUUGGAUGCAGUUGUUUAUGAAGCUGCAACUGUGAUGUCAGAAGGACACGGUAGCCAACCUGAGCAGAGGUCCAGAACCUCCCUUUUUCAAACAAUUAAUAGUUCCAUUAAUUCCUAGUAUUGUGGAUAGAGCACCAAAAGGCAGAACUUUCGGGGAUGUCCUGCAGCCAGCAAAACCUGAAUACAGAGUGGGGGAAGUUGCUGAAGUUAUAUUUGUAGGUGCUAACCCGAAGAAUUCAGUACAAAACCAGACCCAUCAGACCUUCCUCACUGUGGAGAAAUAUGAGGCUACUUCAACAUCGUGGCAGAUAGUGUGUAAUGAUGCCUCCUGGGAGACUCGUUUUUAUUGGCACAAGGGACUCCUGGGUCUGAGUAAUGCAACAGUGGAAUGGCAUAUUCCAGACACUGCCCAGCCUGGAAUCUACAGAAUAAGA